AUGGCCUGGGCCCCUCUCCUCCUCACCCUCCUGGCUCACUGCACAGGAUCCUGGGCCCAGUCUGUGCUGACUCAGCCAUCCUCAGUGUCGGGGUCCCCGGGACAGAGGGUCACCAUCUCCUGCACUGGAAGCAGCUCCAACGUUGGGCUUGGUUAUGUGCACUGGUACCAGCAGCUCCCAGGAAAGGCCCCCAAACUCCUCAUCUAUGAUAGUAGCAAACGACCCUCAGGGGUCCCUGAUCGAUUCUCUGGCUCCAGGUCUGGCAACUCGGCCUCCCUGACCAUCACGGGGCUGCAGGCUGAGGACGAGGCCGACUAUUACUGCUCAGCAUGGGACAGCAGUCUCAGUGGUGCCACAGUGCUCCAGGCCUGUGGGGAACUAAAUGCCAACAUCUGA